rnacentral:rRNA from 1 species
GACGAACGCUGGCGGCGUGCCUAAUACAUGCAAGUCGAGCGCAGGAAACUGACGGAACUCUUCGGAGGGAAGGCAGUGGAAUGAGCGGCGGACGGGUGAGUAACACGUAAGGUAACUGCCUCAAGGAUUGGGAUAACUCCGAGAAAUCGGAGCUAAUACCGGAUAGUUCAACGGACCGCAUGGUCCGCUGAUGAAAGGCGCUCCGGAGUCACCUUGAGAUGGCCUUGCGGUGCAUUAGCUAGUGGGUGGGGUACCGGCCCACCAAGGCGACGAUGCAUAGCCGUGCUGAGAGGGUGAGCGGCCACACUGGGACUGAGACACGGCCCAGACUCCUACGGGAGGCAGCAGUAGGGAAUCGUCCACAAUGGACGAAAGUCUGAUGGAGCAACGCCGCGUGAGUGAUGAAGGUUUUCGGAUCGUAAAACUCUGUUGUAAGGGAAGAACACGUACGAGAGGGAACGCUCGUACCUUGACGGUACCUUACGAGAAAGCCACGGCUAACUACGUGCCAGCCGCCGCCGUAAAAC